rnacentral:tRNA from 1 species
GUGUUUGUGGUGUUGUGGCUAUCACAUCCGUUUCACACGCGGAAGGUCCCAGGUUCAAUCCCUGGCAAGCACA